rnacentral:lncRNA from 1 species
CGAGGGAGGGGGCGUGGUUCCUUCCGCUUCCACGCACGCUCGCUCGCUCGCUCCGCAGGCGGCUCCGCGGCACCUCUCGCCAUGGCAAGCAAUAUUGGGAUGGCACUGCCAUUCGGGCCGGGCGCCGGGCCCUCGCCUUAUCGCGUCCCGGAUUCCUCCGGGACCCGCCCGAAAGGACGGACCUCACCGUGCAGGCACAAAAUCGCUGGCCACCCCCACCCAGAUCACCACGGAAUCUCCACCUGCGCCCCCUGCUUCUCCAGCGCUAUGUCGAGAAAAGAAAUACACAAGCCUUUUCGCGCGAACGAUCGAUUCGGGACGUCUACUACUCCUAUACAUGAUUUAGGUUUUGGCGUUAGUUCUUGCGUAAGCACCAAAGGAAGGCUGCUGGUUGCUACGACGACUUUGAUUAAUUAAUUAUUAGUUGGCGGAACAAAAACAUGAAUUCAGAAGAAUAUGCGAGGCGAUGACGCCGACGCCGACGACUACUAAUUACCAUUGUUAACGCUUGAUUGAUGCCCACCCAGCCAAUGCAAGCGAGUUAGAUAUAGAUAGAUAUUAGCACCGGUUGGGUUGGGGUUGUGGUUGGACUUGAGCAAGCAACAGCGCACCUACCAUAUCAAAAGCUAAGCAUCACGCCGAUCAUCACGUUUGCUCCAGUGGCCCCCCCACACCCACACCCACACCCACACCCACUCUCACACACACACAUGCCCACGGCUAAGCUAAGCAUCCCAAAUAAUAAAACAGCUCGUGCAAGAACAAGGAUGCUUAUCUUCUUCUUCUUAAUCGAAGAGUAGGCAGCUCGUGCAACUUGCUCUUACAAAGUGAUAAAAAGAUUUAAACACCGAUUAUACUAGCAGGUGGAUAAACCCAAUAAAGUAGGUGCAGUGGAGCAGUGCGACACGCCGCUGCCUGUGACUGUCUUGUCACGCCUGAAGACAUGACAAGAUGAACACGUACUGAGUACCGAGUCACCACCGGGCCCAGUUCGGUACGCGUACGCAUGUCCUUCUUUUCCCUCUAGGCUCAGCAGCCUCAGCUCAGCUCAGCUCCUAGACGGCAAAGCCAGGUCAACUUCGUUAUCUGCGAUACAUGAUACUACUAUACGCGGUGAUAAGAUGGGCCAUGCACGACGUGGACAACCAACUGCCACGAGUUAUACUCAGCCAUAGGAGUAGAGCAAGCUCUAUCCUUCUCCAGGGCUUAUCCAAACGCCAUCCUUUUCUUUUGGCGGUGGGAUCACGUAACCAGACGUGAUUAUCCUUACGCAUAGUACACGGAUGAUGACAUGGAUAAUGAGUUCAGCGCUAGUGUUUAGCACAUGAACAGCGCAAAGAAAAAUGUUUACCACUGCAGCAGGGCCUGGUGCUACGGAUGCACAGGUGGGAAGGACAAGAAGAGCAAGGAGACAAGCUCGUGCACAGUCUCGAACUCUCGGUGCUUCCCCCAUGUCACCGCCAAGCAGGCCCACCCGCCAGUCCAUUCAUAAUCCAUCGCUAGUGCUAGUGCAUCGCAGUGAAAAGACAAACUUUUCUUCUCAACGAAAAGAAAAGAUGGAGAUGAAAACUGAGUACUCGUACGCCUCGAGAAAUAUUUCGAGUGCUCAUACGUGCUACAGGACAGACUCCUGCCAUUUUCUUCCCAGUCUUUUGAGGCCGGUAAAAUCGAUGCGGUAAAAAUACAGAAAAGAAAUACUACGGGGUAGACUUUGCGUGUCCCUCUCUACCCCGCGUACCACCAACGUACUCUACGUGCAGGUCAAGGUGCAGUAGUUUCUUCCCUCUCUCUUUUUAGUGUAUUUUCUACUGCUAGAACCGGGCGAGCGCGCGGCGGAGCACCUGGGCGAGGAGGCUGGGGGCGCUGAGGUGGGGGAGGUGGCCCUCCGUCGGCAGGGGCUCGAUGGUGGUGCGGCCGCCGAGGUGGGCCUUGAGGUACGCGGCGACGGAGGCCGGCACGGAGACGUCGCGGGUGGUCUGCACGACGACGCACGGCGCCUGCACCAUGCCCAGCACGCCGCGGAGGUCGGUCUUGAACACGCUCUGGCAGACGUGGAGCGAGAUGUCCGGCCGCAUGUUGAACAGCGUCCGGCUGAACUCCUGCACCGCCGCCGGCACGUCCGCGCCCACCGCCAGCGGCGCGUACCCCGUCGCCCACGCCGCGUAGUUGGCCGACAUCGCGUCGAACACCUGCUGGAUCUGCUCCAGCUCGAACCCGCCGUGGUAGUCGCUGUCGUUCAAGAACCUGCUCGAUCGAUCGAUCGAUGGAUGGAUUGCUCCGGUCAGUUGGUUUGCCGGCGAGGCGCCGCGUGCAAGGGAAGGAAGGACUGAUAAUAAUUGACCUAUCGAUAAGCGGUGCGAAUUACUCUACCACCGUACCGUACCCACCUAGGCGAGGCGCCGAUGAGGACGAGCUUGGCGAAGAGGUCGGGGCGGCGGAUGGAGGCGAGGAUGCCGAUCAUGGCGGAGACGGAGUGGCCGACGAAGGCGCAGCGCGGGAUGCGGAGCGCGUCGAGGAUGGAGAGCAGGUCGUCCACGUAGGCGUCCAGGUUGUUGUAGCGGCGGAAGUCGAAGUGGUCCGGGUUGACGCUGCCGGCGCAGACGAGGUCGUAGAGCACCACGCGGUGGUCGCGGGUCAGGUACGGCAGCACGCGGCUCCACGCGGACUGGUCCGUGCCGAAGCCGUGCGACAGCACCACCACGCGCUCGCCGGUGCCCACCACCCGCACGUUCAGGAUCUGCAGCAGCUUCGCCCCGCUCGGCGCGCCCCCGACCAUCGUCUCGCCGGAGCCGGACGCCGGGGCCGGGCUGCUGCCGCCGCUACUGCUGCUGCUGCUGGGGCUGAGGGGGUGCGUGGACCGGAGCAUGAGACGACUGACUUGGGAGGGAUACGGGGCUGGGUCGCAGAGGCCGCGCCGCUCUUUAUAUACUACUGGGUACUGGCUGGGUAGCUAGCUGGCUAGCAAGCAGCGGAGGCCAUGGCGCUCUUGGCUACCUCUCUCUGAGAUCUCUCUCCCCUCCUCUGCUUUAUUCCCCUCGCUUGCUCUGCCCCCUCUUGGUUUUCUGGUGUGGUGUGGUGUGGUGUGGGCGAGGAGAGAGUUUUGUUUUGUUUCCGUUUUGGAGGUGUGAUGAUGUGCCCAAUUAUCCAGGCCACACCGGAUAAAAAGGAGCGGCACCUAUAAUUCUAGCCGCUAGGUUUUGUUUUUUUAUUGAUUUGGGUUUUUCCGUGCGUGACAAAACCAGUCAUUGUUACAGAUUUACUUUGACCCACUCUGUGGUGCUAAACAUCACUGUCUUCUUUAUUAGCUGUAUAUAUAGAGAAAUUCAGUCUGCAGGUGGGACUGUAGAUGGAUGCGCCACCUCAAACCCAUUUCAUCCAUCACUUUUUGUUGGUAAGUAAUGGACAUCCCACUAAAAAUUUAAUGGGAUAAGUAAGAUUAAGUAGGAUCUCAUUUAAAAAUCUCAUACAAGCAUGCAACAAAAAAAAUUCACACAAGCUCGAGCCUCUAGAAUCUCAUCCCCGUAUGCUACAUGCAACAAAGGAAUUAACACAACUUUUCUUCACUAAAUAUAUGUAACCACACCAUAGCACCAUUUGCUUUGAAAAUGAACAUUCCAACGGCCAGAAAAUUUUGAUGAAUUUUUGCUCUGAACAUGGGUGACAUACUGACAUGAGACAUUUCUUUCUUCCUGUUUUGAAUCCUUUAGUCACAUGAAUGGUAGCGCUAUUCCAAAGGAAGAUCAAAGUAUGAUAAAACCUGCAACACAAAACCAAAUCAAACUUCUAAAAACAAAAAAAAAUCAACAACCAGAACUAAAAAGAUCAUAACUGCAAAAUACAUUAAUAGGCGAAUCAUUUUUGUAGAAUUUAAAGCAUUGCCAGUUCAUGAAAGAGCUUCUGGCUAAAGUUCAAACUUCAAAAGUUAAUCUAGUACGUGACAAUUUAAGGCAACAUGGAAAAAUGUUGCUUCACAAGAAUUACCUAGGUGGUUCCAGCAUCAUGUUGAUCACCACCAUGGUACCCGACUGUUGGUUCCGCCUUUUGGCGAUCUAAAAUAUUAGAGGCAUUCAAAAUGGAACAUUCAAAUGAGACAUUAUUAAAUAAAGCAUGGAAAACUAAUUAAAAACAUAUUACCAACUGAUCAAAGCCAAUCCUCAUGGCACAUCAGCGUCUCAAUGGUAGUCGGGCUCAAACUACUUCUAUGGUCACUUAUGAUCCUUCUAGCAUUGUUGAAUGUAGCCUCUGCAUGCACUGUAGAUGCGGACAUUGCCAAUAUGUCUCGCGCUAUAGCCCCAAGCACUGGAUACUUUGGGGGGUGGAUUUUCCACCACUUAAAGAUAUCAAACUUCUGUCGGCGAGGAAACAAGUCUUCUUCAAGAUAUUGUUCUAGCUCAUUUGAGUUGUGGGAUCUUUUCAAUCUCGAAUGGUUAUCCGAAUCAUCAAGGUCGUCCUCCUCAUCCUCCUC